rnacentral:rRNA from 1 species
CCUACGGGGUGCAGCAGUAGGGAAUCUUCCACAAUGGACGAAAGUCUGAUGGAGCAACGCCGCGUGAGGGAAGACGGCCCUAUGGGUUGUAAACCUCUUUUGUCGGAGAACAAAACCCGGGACGUGUCCCGGACUGCGUGUAUCCGAAGAAAAAGCAUCGGCUAACUCCGUGCCAGCAGCCGCGGUAAUACGGAGGAUGCGAGCGUUAUCCGGAUUUAUUGGGUUUAAAGGGUGCGUAGGCGGUCCGUUAAGUCAGCGGUAAAAUGGCGGGGCUCAACCCCGUCGAGCCGUUGAAACUGGCAGACUUGAGUUGGCGAGAAGUACGCGGAAUGCGCGGUGUAGCGGUGAAAUGCAUAGAUAUCGCGCAGAACUCCGAUUGCGAAGGCAGCGUACCGGCGCCAGACUGACGCUGAGGCACGAAAGCGUGGGGAUCGAACAGGAUUAGAUACCCGGGUAGUC